rnacentral:snRNA from 1 species
AUCGCUUCUCGGCCUUUUGGCUAAGAUCAAGUGUAGUAUCUGUUCUUAUCAGUUUAAUAUCUGAUACGUCCCCUACCCGGGGACCAUAUAUUAAAUGGAUUUCUGGAACAGGAGANNNNNN